GUGAGGGAUUUUCUGAGCCCUUUUCCUCACUCUGGAUGUACAGUAUACAGUUCUUGAAGGGUGGGCAGGGGGGCACCGAUAGUCCAUUCAGCAGUCCAAACCGUUCUCUGUAGUCUUCUGAUCCCUGAUUAGGCUUACGAUGGGAAACGCAGCCCUGGUCAGGAGCAGGCGAACUGUCCGGCUAAGCUGAGCUCCUCUAACACUGACCAAUAGGAACACAUCGAUAUUACCACUGACUCUCUCAUAUACAAUUAGUUGACUUUAUUAUUAGUCCAAAAAUAAAAGUGAGCAUAAAAUACAACUUAAUAAAUAAAAAAUAGGUUACAACCAACUGCAGACUAUUUAAUGUAUUGUGCCCAAAAUGUAAUGACCUUUUUUUUCUUCUUUUUUUCUUAAGAUAUAUGAAAACAUUUUAACAUAUUUGCUGCUUGUGCAUUCAGUUGAUCAGCAGUUUCAAGCCAUGCAGCCUUUCUCUCGGGUUUUACGACAGCUUUACAUUUCAUGAUUAUUAAUUUUAUUACUUUUGUAAUAAAUAUAUUCUUAGUUACACUUUCUAGGAAUAUACUAAACACAAGCAUACUUUUAGUGACAUUUUAGUGUAUUUAUAGAAAACAUAUGUUACCCUUACUUAAAGUAUAUUUUAUGUGUACUUUGUGUAAGAGCAUAGCAAAAUGAUUAUACUUUUAGUAGGUUUUUAAUGUACUUUAUAUUGCAGUAGGGCCUACACAUGGUUAUAUUUUAAAUAUUUAUGUAUUUACAAUUUUAAUAUUUGGAAAAGUACAAUAUUUUGAAAAACAUUUUUAACAUUUACAAUGUACAAACCUUUGUCAAAUGUUAUUAACCAUUGCAAUAUUUAAAAUAUGUUGUUUAAUAUGGGUUAUGCUACUUUGGUUAAUUAGGCUGUUGUUCAGUAUGAUACAUUAAUUGUUAUAAGCUAGGUGUUUAUGAAUUUGUUCAAGCUUGAUGCCUUUAUUUUCUAAUAUAUAUUUCUGAAAUUCCCACAAGGAUUUCAACAUCAUAUCUGGAAAAAACAAACAAAAAAAAACACUUUUAUUUGUGUUUAAAUUCAAACAAAACAGACUAAACCUGAUUGGUUCCAGAGCCACUGAACGGCUCUGAUUGGUUCGUAUGAUAAUGAGCUCGCAGCAGAGAGCUUAGUAAAUCAGAUAUGAUGUGUGUGCAAAUGUCCCUUGAAUGUGAAUAUAAGUCUAAAUUUAAACAGUAUUAUAUAGAGCGAUCGUGUCUCUUUAGGGUGCUUGGAGGAAACCACGCAAUUCAUAUGAAUUACUUUGGCGAUGUUUUUUUGCGAUAAACUUUUUGAAACGUGAACAUCUUUGAAUCUUUUCAUCGGAGGAACAUAAAUCUCUCAGAUUUCAUUAAAAUAUCUCCGCUUUUCUUUGAAGAUGAACGAAAGUCUUAGAUGGUUUGGAGCAUCUUAAGGGUGAGUGAUGACAUAAUUCAAAUUGUUUUGGGGGAACUAUAAAAUUAAUUAGAAAAUAUAGCGGUAUGUUCUUAUUUUUACCAGCUUCUGCAAGCGUGUAUGGCGUCUGGCUUUGGAACCUCACUGUGACUUCAGGUAAGAUUUGUAUUUAAUUAACGUUAUUUGUCUGUACCAGUCGUGUUUUUGACAAAUGCAUUGCAAAUUAAAUAAAAUUAUUCAUUAUAACAUGUACAACAUUAACAGUUUUUAUUUGCAACAUGAAGUGUAUUUAUUUCUGAUUUCCUGAACAAUCUGGCUUCAUUGAAAUGAGGUUAAUGAUCUUUGAAAAACCAUGAUUAUGAACAUACAGUUACUUUGUCUUGAGCUGAUCAGCAAACUGUGGUAGUGUUGGUUGAUUGGUGUUUAUAUUUGUUCAAGCUUGACAACCUUAUCGACUUUAUUUUCUAAUAUAUAUUUCUCAUUACAGAUAAGAACAAAGAUUAAAUUGUAAGAAGGUGUGCUUAUAAAAGCAUACAGUACAUCUGAAACUGCUGAGGCUGGGAAGGUUUUUGACUAUAUUUCCGACCAGAUCAGCUGCUAUAGAAGACAAACUGAAAUCUGAGUGCAGAGACAAGCAAAGGAAUACUGCAAGGCACUUGUGCAAAAUAUUGUAUGCCAGGACGACUAGGCUGUGCCCAGGUCUCCGGAACCUGCGACGACGCUCAGCUCCAUCGGGCCCUCCGUCUGCACCUUCGGGUCCACCAGCUCUGUCUCCAUCAAUCGGCUCCCAGAUGUCGGCACACACCAUCUACAUCUUGGCUCCUCCCUCCCUCGACUCCGCCGUGUGUUGUCAGCACUGGGAUGCUCUGGGUCUGUGCCAUGUGCCAAACUCCAUCUAAGCCGCCAGGGCAUCAUCGUCAUCCUCCCAUCACCAUCCCUUCACCACAUCCUGCCAUCAUCCCACACCUUUGCCUCUCACCAUUCCUACACCAUCUCCUCGUCCACCUCCAAAACCCCCUCCAUCCCUCCCUAUUCUGUUGCUUGAACUUUAUCAUCUUCAGUCUUUGCACACACAUCUAUUCACUUCUGCACUUAGUUUUUCUGUAAAUUUUUGUUUUUUUUC